GAUGAACGCUGGCGGCGCGCCUAACACAUGCAAGUCGAACGGCACCCCUCCUCGGAGGGCAGCGAGUGGCGAACGGCUGAGUAACACGUGGAGAACCUGCCCCCUCCCCCGGGAUAGCCGCCCGAAAGGACGGGUAAUACCGGAUACCCCGGGGUGCCGCAUGGCACCCCGGCUAAAGCCCCGACGGGAGGGGAUGGCUCCGCGGCCCAUCAGGUAGACGGCGGGGUGACGGCCCACCGUGCCGACCACGGGUAGCCGGGUUGAGAGACCGACCGGCCAGAUUGGGAGUGAGGCACGGCCCGGGCUCCUACGGGAGGGAGCAGUGGGGAAUCGUGCGCAAGGGGGGGAACCCUGACGCAGCGACGCCGCGUGCGGGACGGAGGCCUUCGGGUCGUAAACCGCUUUCAGCAGGGAAGAGUCAAGACUGUACCUGCAGAAGAAGCCCCGGCUAACUACGUG
rnacentral:rRNA from 1 species